UUACAUCAGCAGUCAUCUCCAUGAUAGAGUGUGGAUGGCACCACCUGCCAGGUGCCCGCUUGGACAUCCUCCAAAACCUAGUGGCUAAUACACGGUUGCAACGGUCUGCCGCACUACGGUUCUGUCAGCGGUUCGCCGUCCGGCACUGCCGGUGGUGGAUUGCGCCCAGCUGCUGAGAAGACCAGCGCCUGGAACAGGGCAGUGUGUCGUGGCUGACUCAGGCUGGUCCCCAUGGGACGGUCGCGCUGGCAGAGUGGUGGCUUCGGUCACAGCAUUGCUUGAUCACACGAACUUCUGACCUAUCAGCCUUGACUGUGGUGUAGUGGACCACAGUGGCAGUGACGGGUAACGGAGAAUCAGGGUUCGAUUCCGGAGAGGGAGCCUGAGAGACGGCUACCACUACCAAGGUGGGCAGCAGGCACGCAAAUUGCCCAAUGCUGAGACAUUUCUGGUGAGGCAGCGACGAACUGCAGCAAUCCCGCCUGUCCUCGUGACCAGUGGGACUUGUAAUGGAUGCAAUCCAAACACAGUGAUGAGUAUCAACUGGAGGGCAAGUCUGGUGCCAGCAGCUGCGGUAAUUCCAGCUCCAAGAGUGUAUACUAACAUUGCUGCUGUUAAAACACUUGUAGUCGGACGCUGGGUGCAGGUCUGCCAGGCGGCUGGUGGCAGUGGUUUAGGGCCUCGGUCCGCGAACUGCUGUCGCUGGAACUCAACCCCUGGCAGUAUGCUCCUGCACCCGUUCUCAUGAUGGUGCGAAUUGCUCCUGCUCCAAGUCUUCUUCAGUGGGGAUCGAUGCGGUUGUAUGCCCAACGCUCGUGUGCCUGACGUUCGGGGGCGCAGCCUCGUGCUGUGCAUUCUCCCCAGUCCACCACCGGAGUCCACCAUCGCUGUCACCGUGGAAAACUCAGUGUGCUCAAAGCGUCCACUCUUGGCUGGAUGCCCGUCCAUGGAAUGUCAAAGCAUCGACCUGAUGUGGCUUAUGGAGUUGUGCUGGCCUUGGUGCUCAUCCAGGGGAAUGGGGUGCGGUCCCCCGGUCGUGACGGUCGCGUCUUCGGGCGUGGCUCCGCGGCCGGUGGGUCUCCGUACCGAUCGGCCAUGAUGGGACUGCUCGGGGUGAAGGAUAUUGCAGCGCCAGAGGUGAAAUUCUUAGACCGCUGCAAGAUCAACUGCAGCGAAGGCGCUCUGCAAGUGCAUGUUCGUCGAUCAAGAAUGAGAGUGUGGGGAGCGAAGAUGAUCAGACACCGUCGUAGUCCACAACUGUAAACUAUGCCAGCUCGGUGUUGAGAGUGCAAGAAUCGAGACGCUCCCAGCGCCAUGCCCCCUGCAACGAGAAAUCCAAGCCUAUGGGUUCAGGGGGGAGUACUGUCGCAAGGCUGAAACUUAAAGGAAUUGACGGAAUGGCACCACCAGGCGUGGAGUAUGCGGCUUAAUUUGACUCAACACGGGGAAUGUUACCAGGUCAGGACGUUGCCGGGAUGGACAGAUUGAGAGCUCUUUCUUGAUUCUUCGGAUGGUGGUGCAUGGCCGCUCCUGAUUGGUGGAGUGAUUUGUCUGGUUGAUUCCGAUAACGAGUGAGAUAUCUGCCUCCCAAUAGCCCCAGCCUCGCAUUUGGUAGAGUGGGCGCGGCCGCACCGGCGGGCUUCGGCUCGUCGGGGCACCGAUCGUCGCUCGAGAGGCCUGGGCCAAGCUUCUCUGAGGUGCUGUGCACGCUACCAAGUGCAUGCAUGCUAGAGCCAACAGCAGGUCUGUGAUGCUCCCAGAUGUCCUGGGCCGCACGCGCACUACAUUGGUCCGGUGAAUGUGUUGUCCGCUCACUCGUUGAGCCCUGCCCGGAAGUGGGUGGGAAACCCCUGGAGCCCGGUCCGUACUGGGGAUAGAUGAUUGCAACUGUCUGCCUUGAACGAGGAAUGCCUAGUAGGCGUGGGUCAUCAGCCCGCACCGAUUGCGUCCCUGCC
rnacentral:rRNA from 1 species